AUCACCUUUAAACUACACCACAGUUUACUCUACUCCACUCCCUGCUUCAUAAAUUCAAGAUUCUGACCUGCAAAAGGAGAAACUGCCGGAUUUAUGCAUCGUUCUCGUUUUCAGCCGAGGCACAUGAUUACAGUAAGCCAUGAACUGUGUCUGAAGGCUCCUCUGGUUAUUCAAGAAUGACAAGUCAGGUUUGCAGCGGAUGAACCCAAACGACUCCUGGAAGCAUCACUGAUCACAGCAAUGACAGCACUGAAAGGGAAGGGAAAGUUAAAUGUCAUUGGACUAGAAACGUCUACAGGAUCACUUUAAGUUUGGAAGUCAACACAUACAAGUACUGAUAUAACCAAAAAUAAUAUAUAUAUGUAUCAUCUUAAUCAGUGUUUUAACUAGGAGAAAGGCACAGUCAAAACAUGUAUGUAAGAGGGUGAAAUUCAACUCUAGAUGGCAGUCUUGUGUGAAGAGCUUAUCCUUGAAACAAUUCUUCUCUCAGCCAGCAAAUGUAGCAGAGCUGAAGAUAAACUAACACUAAUUACUGUAA